rnacentral:tRNA from 1 species
AGUCCCGUGGCCAAGCGGCGAAGGCAGCUGUCCUACACACAGACGAUCGACGGUUCGAAUCCGUCCGGGACUA